AUUUUAAAUGCAAAAUUAUAAACUAAAACUCGCUGGACUUCAUGCACGAGUGACCUGAGACAAUAGACAAAACAGGUUAACUGGAGAGGCCCCAGCUGAGGAGGUAAUCUGACUUAAAAAAGGCCAAGCAAAUACAUUUUUUUGUAUAUAUAUAUACAUUAAACAUGCAUCUAUAAAUAUCUUUCCUUAAAUGAACUUUCUGUGUAGCAAACAUGUUCAUUUCUGUGUAAACCUUUUCAAGGGUCAAGUGGUAUAUUUUAUGAUGUCACAAUGACCUUUGCACAAGCUAAAUAUGUAAUGGUUUGCCAAUUGCUUUACAUUAUGCAAAGAAAUCAGAAUGAGAUUCAUAUCUUCAAACAAGCCAUUUCAUUAACAUUAGACUGUUGUAUUAUGUUUGUUGUACUUUGGCACAAUGCUUGUACUUGUAUGUGCUAUGUAUUCAUUUGCAGUAGGCUGUUGUAUUUUGUAUCCUGUAUUUUGUAUGCUGUAUUUUGGCACAGUGUUUGUACAUGUAUGCACUAUGUAUUUUAUUAAGAAUAGGUGUGUUUACAGAAAACAUAUUAUUUAGUACAAUGCUUGUACAUGUAUGCACUGUAGUUGAUUUGCAUGUGAGUGUUGUAUUUUAUAUCUUGUAUUUUGUAAGUUGUAUUUUUAAACAAUGUUUGUACAUGUAUGUACACUAUGUAUUUGUUUACACACAGAACUGUUUUUUUUGUAAGUUGUAAUUUGGUACAAUGUUUGUACAUGUUUACACUAUGUAUUUGUUUACACUGAGGACUGUUGUAUUUUGUAUGUUGUAUUUCGGUACAAUGUUUGUACAUGUAUGCACUAUGCAAUUUUGUAUGUUGUAUUUUGGUACAAUGUUUGUACAUGUAUACACUAUGUAUUUGUUUACACCAAGGACUGUUGUAUGUUGUAUUUUGGUGUAGUGUUUGUACAUGUAGAUGUUUUUAUGUUGUAUUUUUAUACAAUGUUUGUACAUGUAUACACUAUGUAUUUGUUUACACUGAGGACUGUUGUAUUUUGUAUGUUGUAUUUCGGUACAAUAUUUGUACAUGUAUGCACUAUGUGUUAUGUUUGUACAAGGAGGACUGAUGUAUUUUGUAUGUUGUAUUUUGGUACAAUAUUUGUACAUGUAUGCACUAUGUGUUAUGUUUGUACAAGGAGACUGUUGUAUUUUUCAGGGGGAGACAUGCCUCCGCAGCACAGCGCCCUGGAUGUUUACUACAAACAGGUGCACAGAAUGAUCCACGAGCGCCGACAACGUGAAAAUCCAGAGAAUAAGCAAAAAUCGGUAUAGACUAUGAACACACACAGUGUCAGUGAGAGCAGCAAGGCUGUAUUAUGUGUAAAUAAAGGGUUUAUUUCUGUU
rnacentral:misc_RNA from 1 species